UUAUCUUCACCCUUCAACAGUACUGAGUAUUUCUAUAUUUAUAUAGAACUUUUUAUGUUAAAACUAGUAACAAGAAGUCAGACUUCUCUAAUAUAUAAAUGUAAGCCAGCAAGGACCUCCCUCUGGCAAUUAACAGCUUUGAAACCUAGUAACAAAUUCGCAAGAAAACCUUACUCAACUUUCUGUUAACCUAACACAAGAAUAUACCAAGAAAGAUUAAAAGAGAAAGAAGGAACUCGGCAAACAUAAAUUCCGCCUGUUUACCAAAAACAUCGCCUCUUGAAUUGUAUAAGAGGUCCAGCCUGCCCAGUGACUCUGUUUAACGGCCGCGGUACCCUGACCGUGCGAAGGUAGCACAAUCACUUGCCUUUUAAAUAAAGGCUAGUAUGAAAGGCACCACGAGAAUUUAACUGUCUCCUUCUUCUAAUCAGUGAAACUAAUCCCCCUGUGAAAAAGCAGAGAUUAUAGUACAAGACGAGAAGACCCUAUGGAGCUUCAAACGAAGUGACACCCAGCCCCCCCCCCAUUAUUUUUCAGAAAACUAACCAACGGACAAGCUGAUCACAAGUUUUUGGUUGGGGUGACCGCGGAGCAAAAUCCACCCUCCGCAAUAAAAAGGCAAAGCCUUAAACUAGUAGCCACAGCUUAAAGAAUCAAUAAAUUGAUAUAAUUGACCCAAUAAUUUGAUCAACGAACUAAGUUACCCUAGGGAUAACAGCGCAAUCAGCUUCAAGAGUACAUAUCGACAAGCAGGUUUACGACCUCGAUGUUGGAUCAGGGCAUCCCAGUGGUGCAGCCGCUACUAA
rnacentral:rRNA from 1 species